rnacentral:snoRNA from 1 species
UUGGUGUGUUCAGAGCGGGAGUCUUGCAGACUAUAGGCUGCCUGUUUAUACCACACCAGAGAGCAACACCACUGCCAGGAGCAAACAGGGGGCUUAAAGUAAGUUGGCUCAUCUUGUAUCCUUCAUGGCAGUACAUUU